AAUCCAUAGGUUAAUGAGGCGAACCGGGGGAACUGAAACAUCUAAGUACCCCGAGGAAAAGAAAUCAACCGAGAUUCCCCCAGUAGCGGCGAGCGAACGGGGAGGAGCCCAGAGCCUGAAUCAGCAUGUGUGUUAGUGGAAGCGUCUGGAAAGGCGCGCGAUACAGGGUGACAGCCCCGUACACAAAAGCGCAUGUGCUGUGAGCUCGAUGAGUAGGGCGGGACACGUGGUAUCCUGUCUGAAUAUGGGGGGACCAUCCUCCAAGGCUAAAUACUCCUGACUGACCGAUAGUGAACCAGUACCGUGAGGGAAAGGCGAAAAGAACCCCGGCGAGGGGAGUGAAAAAGAACCUGAAACCGUGUACGUACAAGCAGUGGGAGCCCCACCACUAAGCCAGUGGUGAACUCCACAUACGCAUCCUUUGCUGAGGAUACGGUUAACGGAGCGAAAGCGACGUUCAACCUCAAAAGAAGCAGAGGGGGCUUAGUGGUGGGGUGACUGCGUACCUUUUGUAUAAUGGGUCAGCGACUUAUAUUCUGUAGCAAGGUUAACCGAAUAGGGGAGCCGGAGGGAAACCGAGUCUUAAUUGGGCGUUAAGUUGCAGGGUAUAGACCCGAAACCCGGUGAUCUAGCCAUGGGCAGGUUGAAGGUUGGGUAACACUAACUGGAGGACCGAACCGACUAAUGUUGAAAAAUUAGCGGAUGACCUGUGGCUGGGGGUGAAAGGCCAAUCAAACCGGGAGAUAGCUGGUUCUCCCCGAAAGCUAUUUAGGUAGCGCCUCGUGAAUUCAUCUCCGGGGGUAGAGCACUGUUUCGGCUAGGGGGCCAUCCCGGCUUACCAACCCGAUGCAAACUGCGAAUACCGGAGAAUGUUAUCACGGGAGACACACGGCGGGUGCUAACGUCCGUCGUGAAGAGGGAAACAACCCAGACCGCCAGCUAAGGUCCCAAAGUCAUGGUUAAGUGGGAAACGAUGUGGGAAGGCCCAGACAGCCAGGAUGUUGGCUUAGAAGCAGCCAUCAUUUAAAGAAAGCGUAAUAGCUCACUGGUCGAGUCGGCCUGCGCGGAAGAUGUAACGGGGCUAAACCAUGCACCGAAGCUGCGGCAGCGACACUCAGGUGUUGUUGGGUAGGGGAGCGUUCUGUAAGCCUGCGAAGGUGGCCUGUGAGGGUUGCUGGAGGUAUCAGAAGUGCGAAUGCUGACAUAAGUAACGAUAAAGCGGGUGAAAAGCCCGCUCGCCGGAAGACCAAGGGUUCCUGUCCAACGUUAAUCGGGGCAGGGUGAGUCGACCCCUAAGGCGAGGCCGAAAGGCGUAGUCGAUGGGAAACGGGUUAAUAUUCCCGUACUUGGUGUUACUGCGAAGGGGGGACGGAGAAGGCUAUGUUGGCCGGGCGACGGUUGUCCCGGUUUAAGCGUGUAGGUGUGUGUUCCAGGUAAAUCCGGUUCACUUUAACACUGAGGCGUGACGACGAGGCACUACGGUGCUGAAGCAACAAAUGCCCUGCUUCCAGGAAAAGCCUCUAAGCAUCAGGUAACAUCAAAUCGUACCCCAAACCGACACAGGUGGUCAGGUAGAGAAUACCAAGGCGCUUGAGAGAACUCGGGUGAAGGAACUAGGCAAAAUGGUGCCGUAACUUCGGGAGAAGGCACGCUGACAC
rnacentral:rRNA from 1 species